UACGAAGGGGGGCUAGCGUUGCUCGGAAUCACUGGGCGUAAAGCGCACGUAGGCGGAUUGUUAAGUCAGGGGUGAAAUCCCGAGGCUCAACCUCGGAACUGCCUUUGAUACUGGAGAUCUUGAGUCCGGAAGAGGUGAGUGGAACUGCGAGUGUAGAGGUGAAAUUCGUAGAUAUUCGCAAGAACACCAGUGGCGAAGGCGGCUCACUGGUCCGGUACUGACGCUGAGGUGCGAAAGCGUGGGGAGCAAACAGG
rnacentral:rRNA from 1 species